rnacentral:rRNA from 1 species
UAACGCGUGGGUAACCUGCCUUAUACAGGGGGAUAACAGUCAGAAAUGGCUGCUAAUACCGCAUAAGCGCACAGAGGUGCAUGGCUCAGUGUGAAAAACUCCGGUGGUAUAAGACGGACCCGCGUUGGAUUAGCUAGUUGGUGAGGUAACGGCCUACCAAGGCGACGAUCCAUAGCCGGCCUGAGAGGGUGAACGGCCACAUUGGGACUGAGACACGGCCCAGACUCCUACGGGAGGCAGCAGUGGGGAAUAUUGCACAAUGGGGGAAACCCUGAUGCAGCGACGCCGCGUGAAGGAAGAAGUAUCUCGGUAUGUAAACUUCUAUCAGCAGGGAAGAUAGUGACGGUACCUGACUAAGAAGCCCCGGCUAACUACGUGCCAGCAGCCGCGGUAAUACGUAGGGGGCAAGCGUUAUCCGGAUUUACUGGGUGUAAAGGGAGCGUAGACGGUGUGGCAAGUCUGAUGUGAAAGCGCAUGGGCUCAACCUGUGGACUGCAUUGGAAACUGUCAUACUUGAGUGCCGGAGGGUAAGCGGAAUUCCUAGUGUAGCGGUGAAAUGCGUAGAUAUUAGGAGGAACACCAGUGGCGAA